UUACUAAUCUCGAAUUUUUCU
rnacentral:miRNA from 1 species